UUUGCUUUGUAAGGUCACCAACAUGAAAUAAACCCCUUUUCUCUGCAAGAGUUCCUCGUGAGUUCCUCUCUCUACAGCCCUGCCGUGCUCAAAGCCGACGAUGACGUUGGCGGCUUUGAUGGCUGACAGGCGGUGAGCGAUGGAGAUCGCCGUGCGGCCGAGGCGAGCCUGAGGGAGACAACAACAGCCCCACUCCCAGCACAGCUCACUGAAAUGCUGCCCAGGAGCUCUGCAAUCUAAAGGCUCGUCAAACUAACUGGAGUCCUUCUAGUGGGUUCAGCCCACUUUGACUUUAGCUCCAUCCACAGCCCACAGAGAAGCAUCUGUUUCUGGGCAAAGGGAGCUAUAGGUUUCUGUUCAUGUCCCAAUAAGCUACUUGACAAAAUAACAUUCAAGAACAGUAGAGAGCUCAAUACUACCCAAUUUGGGCUUUGUAAGGAGGAAUGAUUGAAGGCCUGUCAUCAUCAGGGAAGAAACUAGAGAAGAAGGAACCUCCAGCUGGCAUACAGAGCUCGUACAAGGAGGGUAGCUCUGGGACAGGUGACAGAGGCCACCUUCACCACUAAGGCCAACAGAGUCACAGCUUUUGAUGCCAUCUGGAAGUUAUGGGAUGGUUGUUGCAAGUUUGGUUGCAGAGUGGCUGCAGAGUUACUGCCUGCCAGUACACCUUCCAUGGGCCAGCACUGAUGAGUAAUUGCAGGUCUUACAAAGAGAACUCAAAAUAUUGAGCAGUUUCUGUUCAUGUUUCUCCCUGACUCUUUUUGCCUUUCAACUGACAAAAUGGAAAACUGCAUAUUGGAAAGGAAAAAUGGAAAAAAAGACAAGCUCUGAUAAGAAGAGGUCUUGGCACACAAGUUUGUGAGCAAAUUGGGCUGUUUCUACAUUCUGACACUGGAAAUAGCUGGUGAAGACAACUUGUGAGCACUUGGAGGUAUAGACUGAGCUUGCAGAUGUCUCCCCAGAAUGGCUUUUAUGAUGCUGUGGUAAAAAUGUGAAGUACAAGCUAUACAAAGAAGAUACAAUCACAGAGUUUUCAUCAGCUGAAAGCUCACUGUACCAGACUACAUUCAUUUCCCUACAAAAUGCUGUGUAGGAGAGUUUGGAGCUGUAUUUCUUUUCAGGUAAAAUAUUAAUAAAGAUCCUAAAUUAUUUGUUGCCCACCAAAUCAAA